rnacentral:rRNA from 1 species
GGUUCAUUCACAUUUCUGCCCUAUCAACUUUCGCUGGUCGGCAUAGUGGCUACCAUGGUUUCAACGGGUAACGGGGAAUUAGGGUUCUAUUCCGGAGAGGGAGCUGAGAAACGGCUACCACAUCCAAGGAAGGCAGCAGGCGCGCAAAUUACCCAAUCCCGACCGGGGAGGUAGUGACAAUAAAUACUGAUACAGGGUUCUUUUGGAUCUUGUAAUUGGAAUGAGUACAAUUUAAAUCCCUUAACGAGGAACAAUUGGAGGGCAAGUCUGGUGCCAGCAGCCGCGGUAAUUCCAGAUCCAAUAGCGUAUAUUAAAGUUGUUGCAGUCAAAAAGCUCGUAGUAG